GUACACGCUGUGACUAGCAUAUCAAUAAGCGGAGGAAAAGAAACUAACAAGGAUUCCCCUAGUAACGGCGAGUGAAGCGGGAAGAGCUCAAAUUUGAAAUCUUAAAGGGUUUCCCUUUACGAAUUGUAGUUUAAAGAAGUGUUUUCUGUUGAGGUUUUGGUAAAAGUUCUUUGGAAUAGGACAUCAUAGAGGGUGAGAAUCCCGUAUUUGACCUUUACUUUCAACUUUGUGAUACACUUUCAAAGAGUCGGAUUGUUUGGGAAUGCAGUCCAAAAUGGGUGGUAAAUUUCAUCUAAAGCUAAAUAUUGGCGAGAGACCGAUAGCGAACAAGUACCGUGAGGGAAAGAUGAAAAGAACUUUGAAAAGAGAGUUAAACAGUACGUGAAAUUGUCAAAAGGGAAGCGUUUGACACCAGUGUUGUUUUUCUGAAAAUCAAUUAAAGAACUGUUUAUGCUAAGCUGUUUAGACUUUAUCAGCUAACUGUUUAGUUUUGAGCUUUUCUUUAAUGCACUUUUCAGUUAACAAGUCAACAUCAAUUUCUUUUGCUGUAAAAAAGCUUGAGGAAGGUGGCUUGAGAUUCGUCUUAAGUGUUUAUAGCCUCUUGCCUAUGCAGUCGGAGAGAUUGAGGUCUGCAGCGUAGAUCCUUCGGGGCUAAAUGCAUUUGUGCUAAGUUAUAGCAUUUUAUAGACAACUUGUUGACUAUGAUUUGUCUUGUAGCUUACUCGCUUAUGUUAUUUUACCUACGCUUAGGAUGUUGACUGAUAUGUAGUCGU
rnacentral:rRNA from 1 species